rnacentral:rRNA from 1 species
AUGACCAUAGAUAACUUGCUGAAAAGGCACAUUGACAAAGGCAGUGACUGUCUGUUAUGUGUCUGUGAUGAAAGCAUUCCUCGUUUGUUCCUUUAUUGUGUUGUCUCCUCCAAUAUAUGGCCCGUUGUGCAGGAUUUCUUUGGAACACCAGUAGGCACCAGUUAUGAGUCAAUAGCAAGACCGUGGGUUGCCAACAAGAAACAUCUAAUUUUAAACAUUGUCUAUGUUGUUGUUCUUUGGUGUAUCUGGAAACAUAGAAACUUCAUGAUUUUUGACAAUCUGUCUUGGAUUGAUAUCAAACAGGUCUGGUGGAGAAUGUUGAGAACUCUCACGUCAUGGAUGGUCCUGUUACCAACACAAGUGAAGGAACUGAUAGAGACCUUUAUUGCUUUCCUAGUGGAAUUCCUCAAGUCGCCACUGUUGAUUCAGGGUGGCCGAAGGCUGCCUGGCCUAGCAACGGCCGGUCCCAGAGAAUUCCCCUCCUUUUGUAGGCAAUGA